CUCCAUGGCUUUAAAGCUGGCCUCACACGCUGGAGGAUAAAACAGCUCAUAUAGACUGUGGAAAAGAAAUUGUAGCACAAUUAAAUGCCUCUUUCUUGGCAAAAUAGAAUGUAGGCAUAUACAUGUGUGAACAGCACUA
rnacentral:snoRNA from 1 species